rnacentral:rRNA from 1 species
AAAUUGAAGAGUUUGAUCAUGGCUCAGAUUGAACGCUGGCGGCAGGCCUAACACAUGCAAGUCGAACGGUAACAGGAAGCAGCUUGCUGCUUUGCUGACGAGUGGCGGACGGGUGAGUAAUGUCUGGGAAACUGCCUGAUGGAGGGGGAUAACUACUGGAAACGGUGGCUAAUACCGCAUAAUGUCGCAAGACCAAAGAGGGGGACCUUCGGGCCUCUUGCCAUCAGAUGUGCCCAGAUGGGAUUAGCUUGUUGGUGAGGUAACGGCUCACCAAGGCGACGAUCCCUAGCUGGUCUGAGAGGAUGACCAGCCACACUGGAACUGAGACACGGUCCAGACUCCUACGGGAGGCAGCAGUGGGGAAUAUUGCACAAUGGGCGCAAGCCUGAUGCAGCCAUGCCGCGUGUAUGAAGAAGGCCUUCGGGUUGUAAAGUACUUUCAGCGGGGAGGAAGGUGUUGCGGUUAAUAACCGCAGCAAUUGACGUUACCCGCAGAAGAAGCACCGGCUAACUCCGUGCCAGCAGCCGCGGUAAUACGGAGGGUGCAAGCGUUAAUCGGAAUUACUGGGCGUAAAGCGCACGCAGGCGGUCUGUCAAGUCGGAUGUGAAAUCCCCGGGCUCAACCUGGGAACUGCAUUCGAAACUGGCAGGCUUGAGUCUUGUAGAGGGGGGUAGAAUUCCAGGUGUAGCGGUGAAAUGCGUAGAGAUCUGGAGGAAUACCGGUGGCGAAGGCGGCCCCCUGGACAAAGACUGACGCUCAGGUGCGAAAGCGUGGGGAGCAAACAGGAUUAGAUACCCUGGUAGUCCACGCCGUAAACGAUGUCUACUUGGAGGUUGUGCCCUUGAGGCGUGGCUUCCGGAGCUAACGCGUUAAGUAGACCGCCUGGGGAGUACGGCCGCAAGGUUAAAACUCAAAUGAAUUGACGGGGGCCCGCACAAGCGGUGGAGCAUGUGGUUUAAUUCGAUGCAACGCGAAGAACCUUACCUGGUCUUGACAUCCACAGAACUUUCCAGAGAUGGAUUGGUGCCUUCGGGAACUGUGAGACAGGUGCUGCAUGGCUGUCGUCAGCUCGUGUUGUGAAAUGUUGGGUUAAGUCCCGCAACGAGCGCAACCCUUAUCCUUUGUUGCCAGCGGUCCGGCCGGGAACUCAAAGGAGACUGCCAGUGAUAAACUGGAGGAAGGUGGGGAUGACGUCAAGUCAUCAUGGCCCUUACGACCAGGGCUACACACGUGCUACAAUGGCGCAUACAAAGAGAAGCGACCUCGCGAGAGCAAGCGGACCUCAUAAAGUGCGUCGUAGUCCGGAUUGGAGUCUGCAACUCGACUCCAUGAAGUCGGAAUCGCUAGUAAUCGUGGAUCAGAAUGCCACGGUGAAUACGUUCCCGGGCCUUGUACACACCGCCCGUCACACCAUGGGAGUGGGUUGCAAAAGAA